ensembl:lncRNA
GGUCCUUGGCCAAGACCAAACAGUUUGACACCUUUGGCAUUGAAGCAGGUGCUGCUCCAUACACCCUUAAAACUUGCUCAGGGGUAGCAGAGGCGUCUGGGAGACGUGCAAGCAAUCUCGUUGUGGAGUCAAUGGAUGGAGACACGCAAAUCCCUCUUCCUACUGUGAUGGAAAAUCUAAAUGUUGUUACGUUUUUGGUCUAUCUAUGAACUUAAGUUGUGUUACUAUUUUGUGUGAUGCAUAUAUUGCCUGCCUUCUGCUCUCCUUUUGGGUCAUUUAAAGUGUGAACGUUAGAGGGUCGUGUGAUGCAUUUUAUUGCCUGCCUCUUCCUAUCUUUUCGUGUGUUGUAAAUCAGCUUUCAAGCCACGCUUUGAUGUAUGGGCUUGUUCCACGACCCCCUGGCUAGCGUAAACGAAGAGGGGGUUAGGUGGCACGGCCACUACCCCCUCCAAUGGCAUCCAGGGGAGCUUCAGUUGUAAAGAUAACCAUCUGGUCGAAGUGAAUAAGAACUCAUUGAUUUCAAACACUCAGUGGACUUGUCUGAGCGUACCUUCAGAGAAUGAAGUAACACGCAAAGAGGAGCUCCCAUCUGAGGCCUCAGAUUAUUGUGACUGUAACCAGACUGUUUUAUGGCCAGAGGUCGAGGAAAGGGUGCCUGUGGGGAUAAACUAGUGGUUCUUCAGUACGGUAUCCAAAGGAAAAAAGAAUUCGAGCAGGUGAGAUCACAAUACUGUUAAAGCUUCAAAAUAAAAUCCGUUACAGAAACGGUAUAUAAAUGUUUCGGUAAACGUAAACUUAUAUCUGAACUUAGGCCUCGUUCAAAGAAACUCUGUUAUAGGAACAUGCGGUAGCUCCGUUUCGCUUCCGUCAAUAUAUAUAUGGCUAUAUAGGUAACAGAAAGGGCAGCUAGGGUCUGUCAGGGACGGUAAAGGGAAACCCGUUGAAGCGCGGUUGGUGUUAUAUAUAUAUAUAAAUAAUAAUAAUAGGUAUUCAUUAAUAAAUAUAUGUAUAUGUGUGUAGUAACAAGGAGGUUUCGGGCGAUAUUAGACAAUUUGUUAAAUAAUAACUAGUGUAAAAGGAUCUAAAAUAUGGGGAACAAAUCUGGAAAAACUGAGAUAACGGGACCUGCGAAGGUGAUGUUGGAGAAGUAUGGUGAAGCGGCUCUGGAGGGUUUAAAAUAUUGGUGCAAACUGGGUUUUCCUGAAAUGGGGAGUUUUAGCUUAAAACGAUUACAGGAGUUAGAGAAACGAUUGUUGGAGUCAGAAAUGAAAAAGAAAAGUUCCAAACUAUGUUGGUGCGCAUUUUAUUUGUGGGAAAGAGAGGGCCAGGAUAGGAAAAAAAAUCAGCCAGGGACAGAGAGCGUAGAGAGUGUAGGGAUUUUUAAUCUCAAUGUCACCCGAGAUAUAGACCCGGACCUGGACUGCACCGGCGGACCGCGUGCGAAUCCCCCUUCUCCUCCCCCGUAUGACAAACGCCC